CCUGCCUCAAAAACAAACAAACAAAUAAAUAAAUAAAAGUAUUUUUGAUGCUUUGAAGGGAAAAGAAGAAACACCUGUGGCGGUUUAAAUAAGAAUGGCCCCCAUAGGCUCAUAUAUUUGAAUUCUUAGUCAUCAGGGAAAGGUGUUAUUUGAAGAGGAUUAUGUAUGGCCUUGUUGGAGAAGAAGUGGCCUCACUGGAAGAAGUGUCUGUGCUGUCUAUUACAAUAACUUUGAUCACUUUGCCUUUGACAAUUCAGCACUGCCACUUUGCCCCUGCUACUUUGAGACCUAAUUAAAUCCAUUGCAUUUAAUUCAUCCAGCUGAACAACUUCUAUAUUCCCACAGAACCCUGAUUGGUGUUUGUCAUCGAAUCAGAGGUAUCAGCAUGGAGUCCUUUACAUACACCCUCUGAUCCAUGAGAUCUGCAUUGUUGGAAAACACAUGAUGGAAGUGAAUAACCUCCUGUGGCCUUUCAGACUUUCUUCUCCAGGCUGACUCAAUGUAUGGAACAUAACGGUGUGCCAAUCAUCCAUCAGUUCUUCAAACCUUGGCUGGGUCCACCCAGGAGCAAGAACAUGUGGAAGUCAUUCAGCUUACAUCUACGGCAAUCACUUAUAAGACCUAUUAGAAUUCACUCCACAGUCCUGGAGACAAGCAGAAGGUGAAAUGGAAAGACAAUUCUGGAUGAAUCUAGAAGUCAAAGAUUUAACUGGUUCUCCCCCAGUUCCCCUUCCCACAACUCCCCCUUUUUUGUGUGACAUGAAGAGACUUGGAAGAGUCUUCUUAAGUGAGAUUCUAACAAGUUGUGAAUAACAACUACAAUGAAAAGGAAGCAAGAGACGUAAAUUGAAUUAAAUACUCCAGAAAAUGAUUAUUAACCAACGUUAACUCAGAACAAGAAGAAAGUUCUCAAGCAUGAAUUUCUUCAUUUUCUGGUCUGGCACCUGAUGUCACCUAGCUUCUGUUCCAUAUUCUUCAUUUUAUCAUCAGCUGUGAAGGAAGGUGCAACUCUUUUGUCCAGCCAAAUGCUUCCUUUGCCUCUGG
rnacentral:lncRNA from 1 species